AGGUUUAAUGGGUUCAGGCAUAGCAACCUCUCUUGUUCUGAGCAACAUAUUUGUUAUUAUCAAGGAAAUUAAUCCUGAGUAUCUUCAGAAGGGGAUAAAAACAGUUGAAGCAAAUAUCCGAGGUUUGGUAGCGAGAAAGAAGUUGCAGCAGGACAAAGCAAACAAAGCUUUGUCAAUGGUUAAAGGUGUACUGGAUUACUCAGAAUUUAAGGAUGUGGAUAUGGUCAUUGAGGCUGUCAUUGAAAAUGUUCCUCUAAAACAACAAAUCUUCAUUGAUAUUGAGAAGAUUUGUCCUCCCCACUGUAUUUUGGCAUCCAAUACAUCUACUAUCGACCUCAACAUAAUCGGGCAAAAGACGAGCUCUCAAGAUCGGAUUAUAGGAGCACACUUUUUCAGUCCUGCUCAUGUGAUGCCUCUGCUAGAGAUAAUCCGGACGGAGAAGACAUCUGCCCAAGCAAUCCUCGAUCUCAUGGCUGUUGGCAAAACAAUAAAGAAAGUACCUGUUGUAGUGGGAAACUGUACGGGUUUUGCUGUCAAUAGGACAUUCUUUCCAUAUGCCCAGAGUGCACAGUUUCUCGCGAAUCUUGGAGUGGAUGUCUACAGGAUUGAUGCACAAAUCAUUAACUUUGGUCUCCCCAUCGGUCCAUUCCAGCUUCAGGAUUUAGCUGGAUAUGG
rnacentral:misc_RNA from 1 species